AGCAGGAUAUAAACCAAGGGUUUGGGACACCUACCCCAUAGGGGAGGUAGGAGGGAUGGGGAGGGAGUAGAAGAGGGAGCUGGGUGGCAGCUGUUGGGGCUCAGUGUUUAUGAGGGGAGUACUGUACAGACACUGUGAGAGAAGAGGCCUAGAAGUGUUUGGCGGAAGUGGGAUAUAAGGGUUUGGGUUACAAAGGAUGAUGCUUUGGGGGAGAGGAGGAGGAAGAAGGAGGCUUUUGCCGGGGAGUUGAAAGCAGUAAUGGUUUGUUCACAAGGGUUACAAAUGCCCUUCUUAGUGGAAGCAGAACGGAUUAUUGAAUGACUGGUGGUAACAGCAGCAAUAUCUAUGAAAGGAGUACGGAUGUUUGUGCCUCUGGAAGAGGGCGGAGAGAGGGGUGAAGGUUUUGCAUUUAAGAAGGGAGGCUAGAUACAUUUCCUUGUGGGAGGAGGAAAAAUGUAGGGCGGAAAUAAUAAUAGUGUAGGUAUAGCUGGUGAUCUCAGGGAGAGAAGUGAUUAAUCAAUUCCUGGAGCAACAAAGAGAAGAGAGCAGCUAUUUAAGCAGCUUGGGUUUAUGUGAAUCGUCAGAGAGCAGGUUAAGAUUCCAGUUGCAUCUGAGCUGAAGUCUCUACAGAGUCUGCUAUUUUUGGUAGCAAUGUGGAGCAGCAACAAAAGAGGAAGCCUGGUGGGAGAAGUCGGCAGCCAAAGUUGUGGGGAGUCUGGACUCAGCUCAGCUUCCAUCUUUCAUAAGAAGAUAAGAAUGGCCAUACUGGGUCAGACUAAAGGUCCAUCCAGCCCCAUAUCCUGUCUGCUGACAGUGGCCAAUGCCAGGUGCCCCAGAGGGAGUGAACCUAACAGGUCAGCGAGGAAUCAGGACAGGGAAAAUACAUCUCCCAAAGCCCUACUUGAACUAAGCAUCUAGAUUACAAAAAUUCUCUCUGGUUAAGCUAGGCUAAGUGCAGAAAGGCUAGGAUGACAGAAAGUGACAUCCAGAAAAAACUGGAAUUAACCAGAUUUAAAGCUGAGGAAAGACAGAAGGAACAUGAAAGACAGCUGGAACUGAGACAGAUGAAGAUUGAUGCACAAGCGGCCAGAGAAAAAGCUGCUAAGGAGGCAGAAACGGCCAGGGAUGAGGCUGCCCAUGAGAGAGCUAUGGAGGCCCAGCGGGAGGCCCAGAAGCAUGCUCAGGAGGAGAGGGAAAGUGAGAGGAAGCAUGACCUGGCUGUUACGGAGUUGAAGAGACAAAAUCCUUCAGCUGCUGGCUCCACUUCCCCAAAAAACCACAAAUGGGAGGGACUAUGUCUGCAGUAUGAUGAAUCCAGUGAUAUUGUUGAAUAUUUCAUCACCUUUGAGAGACUGUGCACCCUUCAUAAAAUUCCUGAUGAUCACAAGAUGACCACACUGGUAGCAAAAUUGACUGGCAGAGCUCUGGACAUAUUCAAUAAGAUGCCUAUUGAGGAUGCUUCUGAUGAUGGUAAAUUUAAGGAUGUGGUUUUAAAACAAUUUCAAAUUACAUGUGAAACUUGCAGAGUAAAAUUUAGAGCCCCUAAAAGAGGGGCUGGACUAAGUGAUGUGGCUUAUGUAAACCAGAUGAAGGAUCUGUUAGAUAAAUGGGUCAAAGGAAGGUGUGUAACUAGCUUUGAAGGAGUGUGUGAUUUGUUUGUAAGGAGCAGUUCCUGGCUAUGACCAAUGAUGAAGUAAAACAGUGGUUGUGGGAUAAGAAAAUGGACUCAGCAGAAAGUCUUGCUUCUUAUGCUGAUCAAUGCGAGCAGUCCCAGACCGCCAGAGAGGUGGGGAAAGUUGGAACAAAAUGGGUGGAGGUAGCAGAGAGGAACAACUCCGGUCUCAGUUGGAGCGGAUACCAGAAGGGACGCCCCGAGACCACACCCUACCACCGAGGGUAGCCCAAGGCCCCAACUACACUCCAAGGAAAACCCCAGACACCUUAUCAUCCCACCACACCAUUCUCCAGCAACCCACGCCGCCCCAGUGACCAGUCAGCUGGGCAAUGUUUUAAAUGUAACAGGCUGGGGCGUGUAAAGGCCAACCUCCCCAAAAACCCCAAUAGAUGACAGUUCAUUGCACCAGGGUUACACCAAAGGUCCUCAGGCCCAGAUGCCUCCCAGAUACCCUCAGAGCGAAGGGAAACUGUGAGUGUCGGUGGGAAGAAGGUUAUCGCGUGGAGGGACACUGGAGC